rnacentral:rRNA from 1 species
UACGGAAGGUGCGAGCGUUAAUCGGAAUUACUGGGCGUAAAGCGUACGCAGGUGGUUUUAUAAGUCGGAUGUGAAAGCCCCGGGCUUAACCUGGGAAUUGCAUCCGAGACUGUCUGACUAGAGUAUGGUAGAGGGAAGUGGAAUUCCAGGUGUAGCGGUGAAAUGCGUAGAUAUCUGGAGGAACACCAAUGGCGAAGGCAGCUUCCUGGGGCAAUACUGACACUGAUGUGCGAAAGCGUGGGGAGCAAACAGG